CUAACGUUUUCUAUGAAACAAUAAUGAGCAAACCGACGUGAAUAUUUUUCAUAGAGACACUUGGCAAUGGUCGUUUUGCCAAUGCCUCCCAUUCCCCAGAUUCCUAUCACACGAACCUCAUCCUCAGAUUCAAUACUCAAUAGAGGAUUCAGGUGAUCCAUGUGAACUUUCAUCCCUACGAUAUCACUGAAAUCUAGCGGCUCCAUGGAGAACAAUUGUUUUGAAAUUUGCCCAACAAUAUCGGCAAUCAUCGUGGCCUCGUCUUUACUUAUGUGGAGAACAUAGAAAAAAAACAAAAAAAUGUCGCUUUAGAUAGGCAACUUUAAAUAUAUAAUAAUUCACAGAUCAUAUAUUUAUAUAUUUUCAAUCCAUAACUACUUUCUCGCAGAGUAAUAGGUUAAGGAAGAAAGGGAUCAAUGAAAAAGAAGGUAUCAGGCGAAAUGAUAGCUGCAUUUGUCUACAUCACGCCAAUAAUUAUCGGAAUAAUUUUAUUAGACUAUGUUAGUAGCUUAGCAAGGAUGAGAUAUGAUCAUGAAGAGUACAAUGAAGUGUAGACGACAGAAAGGUUCUUUCAGAGGAGUGGGAAAGAGGAUGCUUGUUAGUAAUUUACGGGGAAAAUACAGCUGAAAUGCGAAAACUCACCAAGUACUCAAAUCCUUGCCUGAUGUUCCUGCGACCUCCCUGAGAGCUUCUCUCCAUUUUUGAAUCUUUGCCGCCAUUGCUCUAUUCUUGCUGGAAAAUAGCAGCAUAAUUCUUGAACAUUCGUACCUUUCUAAGGCAAAAGUUCCUCUCUGGUGACGUACGUCGGAGGGAUCAACGUUGUAGAAGAUUGGAACGGCAGUGAGUUGCUUUUCCUUGUGAAGCUUCAUUAUCAACUGGAGCUCGUCUAGACACCAAGUCGAGGAAGCAUAGUUCGUUGAGAUAACUAGGACCGCGAAUUUUGAAUUGUGUAUAGCUUCCUUGAUUUCUCUGGAAAUGGAGUCGCCAAUCUCGAGUGUUUUAUCAUCUUUGAAGAUUUUGUCAAUUCCCUUGGCAAGAAAUGCUCUGUGCAAAUGGCUGACGAUACCUUUGCGGGUAUCUUCUCCUCGGAAGCUGAGGAACACAUCAUACUGCCUCAGAACGCGAGGUAACUCCAUCGUUGUGAUGUUUAUCUGAAUUUCUUGGCUUGGACCUCUUAAUAAGGAGCUAGGCCGUUGGUUUUUGAUUUUUUUGAUCGGAAGAAGUUCAUGAAGUUACAUUCAAGUCAACGUUAUUAAUUACGCACUGCCACGUUGUAUACAUGGGCGCGACACGCUGGAAACUGUAAUUUGAAUUCUUCAAGUUUGUGACAGAUUGGCCUUAUGAUCUGUGGCACCAUCCAUAAUGUAGCUCUCUAAAUUUAUUAAUACGACUGACCAUUCAUUUC